rnacentral:rRNA from 1 species
UACGGAGGGUGCAAGCGUUGCUCGGAAUUAUUGGGCGUAAAGGGUAUGUAGGUGGUCUCAUUUGUCUGGGGUGAAAGCCUUGAGCUUAACUCAAGAAGUGCCCCAGAAACGGUGAGACUAGAGUCCUGGAGAGGGUCGUGGAAUUCCCGGUGUAGCGGUGAAAUGCGUAGAGAUCGGGAGGAACACCAGAGGCGAAGGCGGCGACCUGGACAGGUACUGACACUCAACUACGAAAGCGUGGGGAGCAAACAGG